GAUGAACGCUGGCGGUAUGCUUAACACAUGCAAGUCGAACGGUCUCUUCGGAGAUAGUGGCGGACGGGUGAGUAACGCGUGAGAAUCUAGCUUCAGGUCGGGGACAACCACUGGAAACGGUGGCUAAUACCGGAUGUGCCGAAAGGUGAAAGNNUUNNUGCCUGAAGAUGAGCUCGCGUCUGAUUAGCUAGUAGGUGUGGUAAGAGCGCACCUAGGCGACGAUCAGUAGCUGGUCUGAGAGGAUGAUCAGCCACACUGGGACUGAGACACGGCCCAGACUCCUACGGGAGGCAGCAGUGGGGAAUUUUCCGCAAUGGGCGAAAGCCUGACGGAGCAAUACCGCGUGAGGGAGGAAGGCUCUUGGGUUGUAAACCUCUUUUCUCAGGGAAGAAAAAAAUGACGGUACCUGAGGAAUAAGCAUCGGCUAACUCCGUGCCAGCAGCCGCGGUAAUACGGAGGAUGCAAGCGUUAUCCGGAAUGAUUGGGCGUAAAGCGUCCGCAGGUGGCAAUGUAAGUCUGCUGUUAAAGAGUGAGGCUCAACCUCAUAAGAGCAGUGGAAACUACAUAGCUAGAGUGCGUUCGGGGCAGAGGGAAUUCCUGGUGUAGCGGUGAAAUGCGUAGAGAUCAGGAAGAACACCGGUGGCGAAAGCGCUCUGCUAGGCCGCAACUGACACUGAGGGACGAAAGCUAGGGGAGCGAAUGGGAUUAGAUACCCCAGUAGUCCUAGCCGUAAACGAUGGAUACUAGGCGUGGCUUGUAUCGACCCGAGCCGUGCCGGAGCUAACGCGUUAAGUAUCCCGCCUGGGGAGUACGCACGCAAGUGUGAAACUCAAAGGAAUUGACGGGGGCCCGCACAAGCGGUGGAGUAUGUGGUUUAAUUCGAUGCAACGCGAAGAACCUUACCAAGACUUGACAUGUCGCGAACUUU
rnacentral:rRNA from 1 species